GACGAACGCUGGCGGCGUGCUUAACACAUGCGAGUCGAACGGAAAGGCCUGCUUUCCCUUGUGGAUUGCGGGUACUCGAGUGGCGAACGGGUGAGUAACACGUGAGUGAUCUGCCCCAACUUGGGUAUAAGCCUGGGAAACUGGGUCUAAUUCCCGAUAGGACUGCAGGGUGGUGCCUGUGGUGGAAAACGAUUUUCUAGUGGUUGGGGAUGAGCUCGCGGCCUAUCAGCUUGUUGGUGGGGUAAUGGCCUACCAAGGCGGCGACGGGUAGCCGGCCUGAGAGGGUGGACGGCCACAUUGGGACUGAGAUACGGCCCAGACUCCUACGGGAGGCAGCAGUGGGGAAUAUUGCACAAUGGGCGGAAGCCUGAUGCAGCGACGCCGCGUGGGGGAUGACGGCCUUCGGGUUGUAAACUCCUUUCGACCGCGAGGAAGCCACCUGGUUGGAAGGGUGGUGACGGUAGUGGUAGAAGAAGCACCGGCUAACUACGUG
rnacentral:rRNA from 1 species